CCUACGGGUGGCAGCAGUGGGGAAUAUUGCACAAUGGGGGAAACCCUGAUGCAGCGACGCCGCGUGAGUGAAGAAGUAUCUCGGUACGUAAAGCUCUAUCAGCAGGGAAGAAAAUGACGGUACCUGACUAAGAAGCCCCGGCUAACUACGUGCCAGCAGCCGCGGUAAUACGUAGGGGGCAAGCGUUAUCCGGAUUUACUGGGUGUAAAGGGAGCGUAGACGGCAGCACAAGUCUGGAGUGAAAUGCCGCAGAUUAACUGCGGAACUGCUUUGGAAACUGGCGAACUAGAGUGCGGGAGGGGUAAGCGGAAUUCCUAGUGUAGCGGUGAAAUGCGUAGAUAUUAGGAGGAACACCGGUGGCGAAGGCGGCUUACUGGACCGUAACUGACGUUGAGGCUCGAAAGCGUGGGGAGCAAACAGGAUUAGAUACCCGAGUAGUC
rnacentral:rRNA from 1 species